UCCCUGGUAGUAUAUCGGUUAGUACACGCGCCUGUCAUUUGAUCUGAGUGCGCGCGAAAGCGGGGUUCGACUCCCCGCCAGGGAG